GCCUCUUUUUGUCUGCAGGCCAGCGGUGUAGUCUACGCAAUACGCAGGUAUACACAGUAUACCCACUGAGA